rnacentral:lncRNA from 1 species
CCGAAGUCAUCAAUUUACUCUUUAUGGCAUUCAUUAUUCCCUGGAGCUUAGCAUCUUUUGUGCAAAAUAUUGUAAUUGUUCAUAAACCUGUUUGGCUUACAAGUUUACAGUUUUUCUUUGUGCAAAGUGUCUGAUGGAAACAUAAUUUUCUUGUAUAAAUUUGGACUAAUCACAAUUCACUGACUGGUCAUAAUCAAAUAGCAAGAUUACUGCAAUAGAGUAUGUGGUCUGAGGUAGUGAUUCUACAUGUUUGAUGUUUAAAACCAAACACCCUGGAAUUCAAAAACACAACACUGUCAAUGAUUUUAGCACAUUGAGUAGGAAGGCAUAGGCUAUGAAGUUGUUCUUUUUUGUAGUGAUUCUCUUGAAGUAGAAUAUGGCUUGUAUGUGGUUCUUGUGAGUUGUACUGCUAUUUCCAAUUUGGGGAAGAAUUUCUGGGUGUGUUUUAAUGACUAUAAGAAUGCUUAAAAGGAACUUGAAGAACAAUGACGUUCGUACUCAACUGUUCUAUAACCUAGAAGCAUAGUAGCGGAAGUCUUUGUCUGUAUACAUUGACAAAUGUGUAUCUGAUACAUGUGCGCUUACAUGUGUGUAGAGAGGGUGUGCACAGG